GAGAUUUUUAACUGCAACAACUUAAAUAUACGCUAUUGGAGCUGGAAUUACCGCGGCUGCUGGCACCAGACUUGCCCUCUAAUGGAUCCUCGUUAAGGGAUUUAGAUUGUACUCAUUCCAAUUAUCAGACCCAUAGAGCCCGGUAUUGUUAUUUAUUGUCACUACCUCCCCGUGCUAGUAUUUGAUAAUUUGCGUGCCUGCUGCCUUCCUUGGAUGUGGUAGUCGUUUCUCAGGCUCUCUCUCCAGAAUCGAACCCUAAUUCUCUGUCACCCGUCACCAUCAUGGUAGGCCACUAUCCUACCAUCGAAUGUUGAUAGGGCAAAAAUUUGAAUGAUGCGUCACCGGCACGAUGGCCGUGCGAUCCAUCAAGUUAUCAUGAAUCAUCGCAGCAACAAGCAGAGCUCGCGUCGAACUUUGAUCUAAUAAAUGCAUCCCUUCCAGAAGUCGGGGUUUGUUGCACGUAUUAGCUCUAGAAUUACUACGGUUAUCAGAGUAGUAGAUACCAUCAAACAAACUAUAACUAAUUUAAUGAGCCAUUCGCAGUUUCACAAUCUAAAUUUGUUCAUACUUACACAUGCAUGGAUUAAUCUUUGUGACAAGCAUAUGACUACUGGCAGGAUCAACUAGGUAGAAUUCCUCAUUGACGUCGUUGUCGCAUGAGCAUGGCCGACCCAAAGGGCACGACCAAGUCUAAGACGAGCACGACCAUCAUUCGUAAGGAGCAUUCUUUGUGUAGAUAUGAGCCAAUGAAGACCCUAUGCCCAUUACGUUUACCGAAUCCGAGAGUCCGAGCAUACUUGUUGUGGACCAAGCCAUCGCAAGGCAACCGAUUGUGCUUGAUAAUCCCUUGGCAUUAGGUAUGCAACACAGAAAACCGACGCCGAACAAGCCUAAUUUGCGCUUGUGCCAUGACUGAGAUGGCAUGCAUUCUAGGAUGCCUCUGCUCAAGCAGGGAUUCAACCGAGCCACACAAGACGAACACUACUCAUGUGCCGCACGUACACUUGCCUCGCUGGUACAAGCCAACAACAAUGCCAACAUGCGACGCGUCGCCAUGUAUUGUUGCCAAUGACAACAUUGCAAAGCCAAGACAAGCCCCGCAAAGCACGAACAGGGGGUUGGAGCAAUGUCAAACACAACCCAUAACAACUGAUGGCAAUCGACAAUGUACUGAGCUUUGGCCCAUGCGCAUGGCACCUUGCAGUGCUACUUGCACGAUGCUUCGCCAUUCCGUUGCAAAAAGCCAUUAGCCGCUGCGAGAAAUGUCGCCUACUAAUGUUGCCCGCAACACCCGAUGGAAAUCAACAUGUACUGAGCUUAGCCCUAUGCGCACGGAACUUUGCGACGCUACUUGCUUGAUGCUCUGCCAUUGGUUUCCAAAAGCCAUCAGCUGCCACGAGCGAUGCCAGACAAAACCCACAACAACCGAUGGCAAUCAACAACUUACUAAGCUUCGCCCAAUGCACAUGGAACUUUGCGGCACUACUUGCAUGACGCUUUGCCAUUCCAUUGCCAAAAGCUAUCGGCCGCCAUGAGCGAUGUUGCUUCCCGAUGUUGUCCGCAAUAACCGAUGGCAAUCGACAUGUACUAAGCUUCACCCCAUGUGCACAGCACCUUGCGGCACUACUUGCAGGACGCUCCGCCGUUCGUUGCCAAAAUCCAUCAGCUGCCACGAGCAAUGCCAGACACAACCCACAACAACCGAUGGUAAUCGACAACUUACUAAAUUUCGCCCAUGCGCACGGCACCAUGUGGUGCUACUUGCACGACACUUUGCCGUUCCAUUGCUAAAAGCCAUCAGCUGCCACGAGCGAUGUCUUCUCCCAAUGUUGCCCACAAUAACCGAUGGCAAUCGACAUGUACUGAGCUUCUCCGCAUAUGUACGACACCUUGCGACACUACUACCAUGACGCUCCACCAUUCAUUACCAAAACCAUAAGAUGCAACAAGCUGUGCAAAACAACACCCACAAUAAUCGAUGGCAAUCAGCAAUUUACUGAGCUUUGCCCCAUGCACAUGGCACCUUGUAGCACUACUUGCACGACGCUCCGCCGUUCGUUACAAAAAGUCAUCAGCUGCCACGAGGGGGUGCCAGACACAACCCACAAUAGCCGAUGGCAAUCGACAAUUUACUGAGCUUCGCCCCAUGCGCAUGGAACCUUGCGAUGCUACUUGCAUGUCGCUUUGCCGUUCCAUUACCAAAAGCCAUCAGCCGCCACGAGCGAUGUCGCUUCAUGAUGUUGCCCGCAACACCCGAUGAUAAUCGACAUGUACUGAGCUAUGCCCAAUGUGUAUGGCACUUUGCGAGGCUACUUGCAUGACGCUCCGUUGUUCGUUUCCUAAUGCCAUCAGCUACCAUGAUUGGUGCCAAACACAACCCAUAACAACUGAUGGCAAUUGACAACUUACUAAGCUUCGCCCCAUGUGCAUGGCACCUUGCCAAGCUACUUGCACGACGCUCCCCCAUUCCGUUUCCAAAAGCCAUCAACUUCCACAAGCGAUGUCGCCUCCCGAUUUUGCCCAUAACAUCCAAUGACAAUCAACAUGUACUGAGCUUAGCCCCAUGCGCACGGCACCUUGUGGUGCUACUUGCGCAAAGUACCGCCGUUCCUUGCCAAAAGCCAAUGUUUGCCACGAGCAGUGUCGCCACCAGACGUACUACGAGCUUAAGAGUAGACAUGUUUUGGCUAGAGAAUCAUAAUAGACAUGUACAACACCAAAUAGAACAAACUAAAGUACAACUUAGCUAAUAUAUUCACAAAUAACUUUUAAACAUUGUAAAUGAUAUUUUAACAAAAAAUAAUAUUUUUAUUAUAAAACGAAAAACACUUAAUAAAAUACUAAAAAUAUGAAAAUUAUAAUAAAUAUAGAAAAAACAAUGGAGAAAAAUUCCAAUACAUCUUUUAAUAAUAUAACACAUAAAAAAGUAAAUAUUUUUAUAAAACAUAAAAUAAAAACUAUUUAAAAUUACAAAAAAUGCAUAAAAAUCAAUAUAAAAUAGGUAUAAUACAUAAUAUUAAUAUAAAAACAUAUAGAUGACCAACCACCAAUAAAAAUGAGCCACCUCCAUUGUCGCAACCACAACAAGAGAUUCCGAUUUGAAACCACCACCGCCAACCACCAAGCAUCGACCAACCGUCGUCGGUCGCUACCGCUCGAACCAUCACAACUUUCCACCACCGCCACCAACGACCACCAACAUCAUUGCGCUUGAAGUGUUGCUAAGCAUUGGCUAGCACUAGACGUGGUGCAACGUGGAGCGACGUGGUGCGGCUUGGUGCAACGUGGAGCGACGUGGUGCGGCUUGGUGCGACGUCGUGCCAUGGCCACAUCCUGCCAUAUCCUGCGACGUCCUGACACAUCAUGCGUCAUGCCAUGGCCACGCCCUGUCAUGUACUGCGACGUCCUGACUCGUGCCAUGGCGUCGUCCUACCAUGUACUGCGACGUCCUGCCCGUGCCAUGGCCAUGCCCUGCCAUGUCCUGCGACGUCCUGACACGUGCCAUGUCCUAUGACGUCCUGACUCAUGCCAUGGCCACGCCUUGCCAUGUCCUGCGACGUCCUAACACGUCCUAACCCGUGCCAGGGCUAUGUCCUGUGGCGUCUUGACACGUCCUGACCCGUGCCAUGGCCACACCCUUCCUUGUCCUGCGACGUCUUGACACAUCCUGACACGUGCCAUGGCUAUGCCCUGCCAUGUCCUGACACGUCCUGACAUGUCCUAACACGUCCUAACACGUGCUAUGGCCAUGUCCUGCCAUGUCCUACGACAUCUUGACCCGUGCCAUGGCCAUGUCCUGCGAUGUCCUGACAAGUCCUGACACGUGCCAUGGCCAUGUCCUGCAAAGUCAUGGCAUGUUCUGACACGUUCCAUGGACAUUUCCUGCGAAGUCCUGACAUGUCCUGACCCGUGUUGUGGACAUGUCAUGCAAUGUCCUGACACGUCCUGACAAGUGCCAUGGCCAUAUCCUGUGACGUCCUGACACGUGCCAUGGCCACAACCUGCCAUGUCCUUCAACAUAUUGACACGUCUUAACACGUGCCAUGGCCAUGCCCUACCAUGUCCUCCGACGUCCUAACACGUCCUGACCCGUGCCAUGGCCACGCCCUACCAUGUCCUACGAUGUCCUAACACGUCCUGACCCUUUCCAUGGCCAUGUCCUGUGAUGUCCUGACAUGUCCUGACCCGUGCCAUGACCACGCCCUGCCAUGUCCUGUGACGUCCUGACACGUCCUGACACAUGCCAUGGCCAUGCCAUGCCAUGUCCUGACACGUCUUGACACGUGCCUUGGCCAUGUCUUUCCAUGUCCUGACACGUCCUGACCCUUCCCAUGGCCAUGUCCUGUGACGUCCUGACAUGUGUCGUGGCCAUGUCCUAUGAAGUCCUGACACGUCCUGACACGUGCCAUGGCCAAUACCUGCAAUGUCCUUACAUGUCCUGAUCCGUGGCAUGGCCAUGUCCUGCAACAUCCUGACACGUUCCAUGGCCAUGUCCUGCGACGUCUUGACACGUCCUGACACGUACCUUGGCCAUACCCUGCCAUGUCCUACGACGUCCUAACACGUGUCAUGGCCAUGCACUGCCUUGUCCUACGGCGUCGUGACACGUCCUGACACAUGCCAUGACCAUGUCCUGUGAUGUCCUGACACGUACUGACACGUGACAUAGCCACGCCCUGUCAUGUCCUGCGACGUCCUAACAUGUCCUGACCCGUGCCAUGGCCAUGUCCUGCGACAUCCUGACCCAUGGACAAGGUUUUGAGGACUUGUUCGAUUUUCCAACACUUAGUAUAAUAUAGCAUCAAGGGAGGAGUUAACCACUUUUCGGAAAAGUUAGAAAUUAAUUGGAUUGGAGGGGGAGGGACGAAUCAGAGCGACAAAGGUCUGAAUCUCAGUGGAUCGUGGCAGCAAGGCUACUCUGCCACUUACAAUACCCUGUCGCGUAUUUAAGUUGUCUGCAAAGGAUUCUACCCGCCUCUCGAUUGAAAUUGUACUUCAAGGCGGCUACCACGGCUCUUCCUCCACGAUGACUUAGCAAACGCAUGUGCCCUUGAGGGCCAAAGGCCCCUACUUUGGGUCGGCAAGCGGAUGGCGGGCACAUGCAUCAAAUGUAGCCCAAAUUCUGACUUAGAGGCAUUCAGUCAUAAUCCAGCGCAUGGUAGCUUCGCACCACUGGCUUAUCAACCAAGCGUAAUGACCAAUUGUGCAAAAAUGUCUUCAUUCUGAACGGAUCUAAUCUCUAAAAAGUACUAAUUUGUCCAUGCUCUCCCUCAUAGAUGCUCUAUAAUCACCUAGUUAAAGUCUUGCUUGACUGAAAGCACUCUCCAAUAUCACUAUUUAAGGUUGAAUGGUUAAAAUAUCUUGGGCCAUCCUUGAAAGGAUCGAAAAGUGUUUUUCUUUGUCAUUACACCAUUCCAAAAGAUUAAAUGAUCCGUCGGAAUUCACUUCCUCAAGUCCCUGUGACAAAUAAACUUCAAGCUCAUUUAGCUGUGACUAAUCACUAGUGGUACAACCUUGAGAACUCCUGGACUUGAUCCAAGCAGUAAGUGCUCUUACUCCUACAGUUCUUUUAGAUGAUUGAGAACUAGAAGAAGAAGGAGUUGACAUAUCUGGUCUAGUAUUAUCUAGUGCAAUUUGAUAAGCACUAUAAAUAUCUAGAGCAUUUAUUUGAAUUGAGGCUUGUGCAUCCGAAAGUGUAGACAACUCCUUAGGUUCAAGUGUGUUUACCGUGAAAAUGGUAAUAACAAUUAAAUUUGUAAAUGGGACUCUAAAAAUACGUGAUCUAUUUUUAUGCUAGUUGUUUAGAGCAGUUGAUGCUAGGAAUAUGAAGUUUAACGAUGAAAUACAAGUUAAAAUGGGGCAGUGAUCGAACUGAGGGGCUUGCUUCCCGGGCUUCGGACUGAUCGAUGAAAGGUCUCGAGGUCGAUAACCGGCUCGAGCUCGAGCUAUCGGAGGUAACCGAGAAGGGCACAAUAGUUAAGAUAUAAUUAAAGGAGGAUAUUUAUGGCCAAUAUCAAGAAAUGAAUGAAGAACAAGUAUGAAAGCAAUAAAUGUAAAGAGUAGCCUCGAGCGAGUAAGUUAGAGAGAAAAGAGAGAGAGAGAGAGAGAUUAUUAAUCUUGUGUAGAAUGGUUGGAGCAACAGCCGCCCUUUACAAAGUGAUGAGGAUCCUCUUUAUAUAGGAGGGGGAGUACAACAUAGUACAUAAUGCAUUAAGUGUAAAGAACCGGAGAUGGGACGACUAGACAUGAUAUCAGACUCUACUGAUGCCAUUUGCUUGCCUCGGGGAUUCCCCACCCUCGGGGUCAUUACUGGGUCGAACGUGAAUGAACUUCGAGGGGAGAACUUGGCCGCAAUCCCGCAGCCUCAAGAUAUCGAUAUGACUCCCCAAAUACACCUUAAUGGCGAGAAAUCGGACCUUCCAGUUUCACCGUAUGCAGAUAGUCUCCGCGUUUCCUAGAAUGAAGUAAUAGGAAACAAUUUUGAACCAUCGUCUCGAGGUCCUAAUUGCAGUGACAUCAACCGAUAAGAGCAUUAAAUGCCAUAUUCCAUAAAACCAUGCAAAGGUCACCGCCAAAUGCGAUAAUCAAGGAACCCAUGAACUGCCAUUGGCUCGUCUUUUCCGCUGCCCAGGCGGUUCCUACAAAUGCAUCAACUGUUUGAUACUUCUUAUUUUCACCCCAUCUCCAAAUUCACAAGUCAAAACCCUUUGUCUCUUCCAUUCUUCCAUAUCGUUUUUAGAGAAAUUUUCGCCAUUGACAUUGCUAGGACUUCUCAAAUAGAUCCCCUACGGAACAACGCUACAUCAUCAUCUCGAUCAUCUAAGGAGGAAACCAGAGCGAUUCCUUCUUUGGAACAGUGUACCCCAGCUAAUAUCGAUCUAUCAAAGGACUUUAACAUCGAUGCCACUUCAUCUAUACUGGGCCGGUGUGAGUAUGUGUCCGAAUAUGUUAGCGUCGUGACCAAUAUUAGCAUAGUGAGGACGGACUACCGAUGGAGAGAGGUAGUGGGGGUGGAGAUUCCCGCUCCCAAUAAAAAUAUAACGGAUCAUAAGGCCAUCUUUCUUUACGUGUACACCUACCCAUUCACCUUGGGUCCCGAUAAUUCUUCCGAGUCUCUCCCCCAGAGAUAGACCCGGUUAUCCUUGACUUGUGCGACCCAUACCAAGUGACGUUUGGUCAGAUAUACCCUUCUUUUUAGAGGAUAGUGUUGAUGCUUUGCCAUUUCAUCGAAGGGGUUGAGGGUGAGAUCUUUACUCUCAAUCAUCUUAUCAGGAUGUAUAACCCUCGAUUUUAUCGAGGUUUAAUCACGCUUUGUCAUCAGUCCAAAAAAUCAUUUUUCUCGAGCGUCGACGAGGGAAAGGAUCGAGGAUGGAUGAGCAAGUUUAUCUGGGUAAAGACCUCGGAUAUCAUCCCGACCCAGAGGAUGCCCUUUUUGGAGAGGUGGAAUACCCAACGUAAGCAAUUUUCCCUUAACCGCUUUUCAACUACUCUUCUUUUUGAAAUAAUGAUCUCAUUGUGCUUCUUGCAGCUGCUGCUUGGUAACCCGAGGCGGUUCCAGAUUUAUUGGGAUGGAUCAAGCAGCUGGACGAGAAGUUCCCAUAUUUUGUUCGGUCUUGGACCGACCUGGCCAAGGGGCGAUGUGUGGCCAAGAAUCACAGUAGAUUUUCCUUACCACCUAUGUCUUAUGUUUGUGUUUCCCCCUGCGCCCUUGGUGGUGACAUCCUGUGGUUACCGCACUUGUGCAGGUCUUGGCGAGAUUAUGUUGAUGAGGCUACCUCAUAGUGGUGAAGUAAGGGCUUUGGAGCCUGAUACGAGCAAGAAGAGGAAAAGCAAGGUAGUUGUUGUCCUUCCUGCGACAAAGUAAUCCAGGCCACUCAAGCAUCGAGCCGCUGCUGGAACUUCUACUUCAACUUCAGAGGUGAAUCCUGACAAUAAGGAAGAGGAUGAAGACGAAUGUCAGCUAGAGCAUAGAACAAGGUUAGAUGUGAAAGCCUCACAGGUGCCUCGGUCGGAGGCUACUGAGUCCGGAAUGGCUGACUCUGGUUGGUCUCGUGAACUAGAGGACCUUAAAGAGGGUGUAAAUGCAGCUUCAAAUUGCGCAACUGAAUUCGAUGCAGUUUCCACUGGGGGGACCGAUGCCAUUGAUCCUGAAAGGCCGAGGCCUGGAGCCCUUCAGGACCAUGGGUUUCCUUUUGGAGAAGUCAGCGACCUGAAGGACUUCUUCUCAUGGUUCCAGGUCUCGUCAGGGGAACUACGGGAUGCCCAAGAAGUGGUCAGCGACAAAGAGGGGAUUCCUCUCCAAGGGGGACACUCUAUUGCCAACAUCUUUGAUGGUGUUAGUGAUAGUGCCGAUCUUGAUGUUCCUAGCACCGUCAAAGCGGCGGAGAAGUUCAUGCAGUAGGUGACAACCAUUUCCCGUGUAUUUCUUUUAUCAUCGGAUGCUAUCCCUUGUCUUUCUAACUUAUCCACUAUGCCGCAGUGCAAGGAGACAUAUGAUCAUGCCAUCCUUCGACUUCGUGAGAAGCUUUCUUAUCAUGAAAAGGAGUGCAAGAAAGCUACCUCGAUACUGCGGGAUUCGGAGGCUCGCUCUGCCCAGGGAGGGAAAGAACUAGGAGAGCUCCGAGCUAUUUUGGAAACGGCGCUUCAGGAAAAGGCUGACCUUACUGCACAGGUUUUUUGCCUUGCUUGUACCCGACUUCCGUUCCCGUGUUCCGACAUAAAUUGGUUCACCUUUCUUUUGUAGGUCGAGCAGAAUGGUUAACAGAUUGACCAACUGAAUACAGAGAUCUCUGGGCUAAGGGAGCGAAAUGAAGUAGUGGCCGGUGAGUUGGCGUCAUCUCGGGAUCUUCUCAAGGAUGCUCGCAAGGAGGUUGCUACUUUGGUUGCGGCUAAGUCCGAGGUUGAAUGAAACACUGCCACUUAUCUGGAGGAUGCACCUAUGGUGCAUAGAAUAGCUCGCGAUAUAUCAAUAGCAUCUGAACAGAAAUUAACCUAAGUUAUUAAGCACGCUAAGGCGAAGAGAGAGACCUUGGAGAAAAUCGGAGCUAGAGGUAUCGACCUAUUAGCUGAUCUCAAGGAAGCCCGCGAAUUGGAGGAAGAACUGGCGGUUUUAGUUUCCCUUGAUGAGGGCAAAGAUAAUAACGAUUGGGAAUAGUCUCCGAGUCGUUUUGUAUCCCUUCCUUUUCCCUUUAUAUGCAGCCCCCGGGGGAUGGGUUAUGUAAAGAUGUUUUUUUUGAAUACAUUUUUUGGCAAUGUAAAAAAGGGGUUUUCCUCCUGUCAGUUUUUUUCAGUCUCUUCUUUCUUUGCCACUUUGCUUUCGUGAUUUAGCUUUUAACUCCUGAUGUUGGCCUUUCAGAACCUGUUCUCGGAGCAUCCAGGAUCUUGAAAUUGGCUAUGCCCCAGGGUUAAAUCGACAGUUUCUCUCAGACCGAUUCUCGUGACAUCAGGGAUCUCCCUAAGGCCUCGUAGUUUUUUGAGUUCCACGAGGUAACAAUAUUUGUAUGAUCUAAUAAAAAGGGGGCCAUGGAUGAUUUCGCUAGUACGUUUCCCUAGGAAAGGGUGACGUUAGUGUGACCAUAAUUAAUUAGCCCUCUGGGUAGGCGGGCAGUUGUUGCUUUGCCCCUAUAUAUUCAUUCACCCAUCUUUCCAACGGUGAAUUUGUUUCUUUGAAAGGCUAUCUCUUCCGCAUAGCCUGGCCCUUUGUGCUAGUCCUUCCACUCCCCUAAGAAAGAAUUUUUUAGCUAAGACCCUCAUUUUUCCCUUCCUAUUUUACCGUAUCCAUGACUGCUAUGUCGAUGUCUGAUCUUUGGGUAGAGGGGAGCUCCUCCUGUGUUCUGCAUUCGAUUGGAACCAGUGGCUCGCCUCCGACAUCAAGUGAGCGAGGCUCAAGAUGCCCUGCCUCGGGGAGAGAUGUCAUGCCGGGGAAACCUCCUAAUGUUCUAGGCCACCGGGAGCAUGUGUCGAGGAUCAUUUCAUCAGUGGGGGAGGAAAACCUCAAGAUGAUCAGAAACGAUUGUGUAUGGGGAAAAGGUGUGAUAUUACAAGUACAUUUUCCCGAGGAAAGCGUUAUGACAUAUGUUGAGAGAUAUUUGAGCGUAUACACACAAGUUUUCGCGCUGGGUUCCCCCGACUGGGUCGUGCUCAAUUUUUGUCGGAGAUAUCAUGUUACACUAGCGCAGGCUCAUCCCUCCCUUUGGAAAAUAGUGCACGCAAUGAGAUAUUUUGCCGAUAAGGCCAGGAGAGAGUUUACCCUCAGCCAUCUCAUGGGGUUGUAUCUUCCACUGCGUUACCGGGGCCUGAUUGCUCUUCAACAUCAAUCCACCUGAGCUCCUGUGGUCGGCAGCGAGGAGGACGAGGACCGGGAAUGGAUGAAUCAUGUUUGUUCGGAUUCGAACUACCGAUGUCAUUCCUAUAGAAUAUUUGCUAUUUCUUGAGAAAUGGAACUUCACACAUAAGUGCCUCAUAUGAACUAUCAUCAUUUUGACCGGAGGCAGGCUCCGUAAAAAUAUCCUUUUGUUCCUUAUUUGCAAUAACUCAUUGGUCACCGAGCGAGGUCCUUGAUUUAGCCGAGUGGUCCCGUAAGCUAGCAUCUUGCUCGAUUUAUGAUAGGCGCCGGUAGCGAGACCUGUUCAAAGGGAGAUGGGAGGCGAAGCAUCGUGGUAGGUGCCCAGCACUCUGUCUCCUAAAAAAUGGUGCUUUUCUUGCGGUCUUAUUUGUUUCAACUGUCGCAGGUGUCGUGGGUUCUUUAGAAAUGAGGCCUUGUCCUCCGGGGGAUGAGGAGAGAUUGUUGGCCUAGGGAUCGAGGAGUGUUGACAAAAGAAAAGAUGCUCUGGGGUGCGAGAAGGCUUGCAGUGAGUUGACUCCCUCUCGGUGGUUAAGGAGAAGCGAUUCGGUCAACCAGCCACCUUCUGGAAGUGGUACGCCAUCGGACGUUGCUUCGGCCUUUGGCAGGCUUAAAUUCGAGCUACUUCGUAGUAAGGCCCCGUUGCGGAAGGCUUUGGAUAGGGAUAAAUCCCUCAAGCUUCUUUGUGCGGCAAAGGAAAGCGAGCUGGUUUCCUUACGGCGUGAGGUGGACUGGAGCUGGAGCUGUGAGAUCCGCCUGGAGAAAAAGGUACCAUGUACUUCAUGUUGGCUUGCACUCCCUUUCUAUCUUGGCGUCCUGAUGUUUUGAUGUUUCAGUUGGAGGACAAGGCGGAUGAGCUGGGACAACUCUAGGCGAGGUUGGCCGAGCCAAACAUGAAUUCAAUGAGCUGCAGACGCAUGUAAGUGCCCAUUUUAUGGUCAAAGAGAGGGCUCAUGCCAAGGUUUCUGCUCUUGAGGCGCAAAUCCAGACCCUUCGUGCGAACGAUUCUGCUUGGGCAAACAUGAUUGCAAGGCUUUCAUCCGAGCUUUCGAAGGCGAAGACCGAGGUGGUGAAUGUUCGGGUCGAGGUUGUGAUGAGUAAUACCAGGGCAGGACAGAAAGUGGCAGCCUAUUCAAAGAGUGCUGCCGCUGUUAAAGUUGAGCUGAAGAGAGACCUUGAUCAUGCAAGCAAUAGCAAGGAGUAUGCGAGGUGCAUGUCCCAGAGGGAAGUCCUCAAAGAGAUUCAUGCCAGGAGCUUCGAUCUCUCUGGGGAGAUAGAUCAAGCCAAAGGGGAGGAGUAUGAUGCCAAGUUCCUUUUAUCUGAUGCUGAAGACGGUAAAGAGGGAGUUGCCAGGCCAUAGUUGUCGAAGGGGGGAACAUUUAUUCCCUGCCUCCUUCUUGUGUACAUAGCUUUCAUAAUAUGUUGUAGAUUGAGCUUGCGUUUCACCGCCUGUAUGUAAAAAUAAGAGGGGGAACCCCACAAUUUGUAUCUUCUGUAUUUCUGUUCGUCAAGAUCUCAAUCGGGUCGAUUCGAGCUUCGGAUUAGUAGAAAUCUCCGAACCUGUAAUAUGGUCCUGAUGUUCGUUAGGCCGGUGAUUGCUGCCAACUUGACGCUACACUAAGGUAGGAAGAGCGGGUCGCAAUAGCUUUUACCCGAUAUAAUGGUUGAGAUCAAUUUCCUCAGGGAGCUAGUAGUGGAGUUGGAUUGUCUGUCUAUCCUAGAGAUGUGUUUGUACUCCUAAUUUCACUUUAAACAUUUUUGGGCUUUCAAAUUAUCACUAUUUUUGUAAAACUAUUGAUUUAUUCUACGAGAAUGUUGCUAAGUUGUAUCUAAUGGGAAGUCGGGCACUAGGGUCGUGACACUACCUAGGUGUCUAAUUGACGGGUAGAUGUUACUAAGGUUCUAUUGACAUAAAUGGGGCUUAUGCUAUAACCAUUGCAUAAUUUUACCCACUCUCAUACCUCUCGGUAGAGAAAGUGACUUUGCCCAAUUGACUCUCUCGAGACCAAAUGGGUAGGCAAAUUAAACCAAGCAACUAGGGUUCAAGUACGGUAAUUACUCUCUCGAGGUUUAACCCGUUAAUUGGGACUAUCAUUUCUCAUGAGUCCAUCCCAAUUCCUUGUUGGGUCAAUUUUGGGGUUGUAGACUCUCUUUCUCAAGAAGAGUUAAACCCACAAAGCUUAAAUCAAUAUUUGCAACCACCAAUUCUAGAUUAAAACAUAAAAUCAACCCAAAUAGCAAACAUCCAUAGUCAAUAUAACACUAGAUGGCAACACCCAUCAGUCACCCACACUAGGAUUGAGCCACAACCCUAGCUAAUGGGUUUAGCUAAUCAUGCUAGAUAAGGAAAUUGAAGAAAUAGAUGAAGAACUAAGCAUAUGAAUUAACUGCUAAAAUUAUAUUGCAAUAAUUUAUCGUAAAUGUAAAGCAAAAGUGCCAAAAACGGCUACAAAAUAUGUUCUCACGAGCAUAGCUCUCUACUGAUGUAUCUGCUUCCCUAAAAAAUGGUAAAAUAUUCUAUUUAUACUAAGCUGGAAAAUCUGGACAAAAAUACUCCUGCGAGUUUAGUGGGGGACACAUUAAAUGGGUCGUGGCCGCACUGGGCUCACUCCUACUUCUCUGAACUUGGACUUCGGGGACCGCGUAGAACGAACCGCAGCCACGAAGGGAGCUGGCGUGGUCCGCGUAACCACGACCGCGGACCGUAUGGAACUAGCUUUGCAAACUCAAUGUCUCUGAACCUCAUGACUGCGGACUGCACAAAAGAGUAGUGCGGCCGUGGAGCCUUCACCGAGGACCGCGAGAUGUGUACCACGGCCGCGGUUCUUCUAGUCCUGAUUCACCAACUCUCUGAACCACCUAGUGUGGCUGCAUUCCACUUUGCGUGGUCCACACUAGGCCUUCUUUUCUUAAUAUUUUUUGGUCUUUGAUACUUGAGUAGGUUUCACUCCUUUUUGGGACGAUCUUUGACAUUUCGUCAGUUUGUCGAUCAAACCUACGAUCAAACACAACUUGUGAUCCUUUUAUGACUAUUUUGUAACAAUAUAUGAUCAAAGCAUAAGCAAGUAGGGGCAUAUAACAUGUUAAAAUCCUAACUUAUCGACUCCCCCAAACUUAAACCUUUGCUUGUCCUCAAGCAAACAAAAUAAGACCCACCCCUUAAAGGAAAAUCCAAGUAAUUCCAGUUGUUCUAAAUUAACCUCAACAAGCAUCAUUUGGGACUAACAAUUUCCCUCAAUACGAAUGGAUCAUUAACAGAGCAUCAAGAAUUGACUUAUUACAUCAAAGAACUCUCUUAAUUACUUUGGUCGUUGUGGACCCCAAACUCACACAUCCUCAACUCUCCCUAAGCAAACCUCCCCUUUUUAGAGUAUAAGCACGCAAACCAAGGUUAAUGGGAAGUCACUCGUCUCUCUAAAGGAAAGGUCACAAGUCCGACUCUAAAUACCAUAUGAUUGACCCUCAUGUAAGCAUCCACUAAUGUGAGCGUCAUCCAACUCAAGAUCAUAUAGGGCUUUUACGGAGUCAAUGUGAAGGCUUUUGGUUCAGGGUAGGAAAAGUUGUUGGUCUAUAUGUGUUCCAUCUUCCCUUAAGCACUUCUUUUGAUUCAUUCUGGCACAAUUCUCUUUGACUCUUUGAGUAUUCCACUUCUUUUCAAAGGGUUAGAGAGAAAAAAAAUAAAAGCAUUUCUCCCUUUUCUACUUUUUUUCCACACCUUUUUCACUUUUGUUUUUCUUAAAUCCCGUUUUAUUCUUUGCACAUUGAGCUUUCUUUUAGUCUUUUUCCUUUCUUUCUUUUUCAUCGCCUUCCUUUCCUUUUUCUUUUGUUCCUUUUACCCCUUUGUUUCCUUUCUUGUCUCUCCCCCCCCAAACUUAGNNNNNNNNNNNNNNNNNNNNNNNNNUUGUUCCUUUUACCCCUUUGUUUCCUUUCUUGUCUCUCCCCCCCCAAACUUAGACUUUUGCCAUUACUUAAGGGACGAUUUGGGUUCCAAGAGAGGGUAUAAUUUAGAACGGGUAUAGGCUUGUAGCAUUGGUUCUUGAAAGAAAAAGGUUUUAGGCUCAAAAGGGUUAGCUAAGGAUUAUAUCAUUGGUAGGUUAUGGAAUUGUUCGACUAUUGUUUGGAUCAAGGAGAGCCUAUAAUCACUUCUCAAAUCCAAUUUCACUCAAAAUUUUGCCUCAACAAACAUUCAGUGCAAGUUCUAGACCAUUGGCUCUGGACUUGGACUCACAAUUCGAUUUCUCACCACACACACUCAAGGAUUUCUAAAAACAUAGAGUCGGGGGCCCAUAACAACCUUAGACACGAUUGAGCACACAAUAGUCCCGAAAGACCACAUGAUGUUUGUUUGGUCAAAACAAGAGUCUCAAGGUCACUACAUUCACCAUCCUAAACACAACCACUUGUCUUUAACCAUGGGAUCAAAGGCAAAUGUGUUAGGCCCAAGUGAAGCUUUGCUUGAGAUACCCUUAACUAUAAACUACUAAAAACGAGGGAAAAAUCAAAAAACGGACUCAAACCCUUAAGAAGGUUUUCACGUCAUCCAUCAUCGGGAAGAGCCACCCAGUUCGCACAAUACUCCACCCUUGGAAAGAACUGUGGCAUUAGGAAAACUAAGGGUUUUUUGAAAGUGCCAAAAUCGAAACAAAAAGGCUGUGGGCCUAUCUACUAGGCUAAGAAUGAAAUAUUUGUACAAAAAUAGAAAAUAGAAUGAAUAUUUACAAUAUGGUAUUAGAAUAUACAAUAGGGGAUGAAUAUACAUACAAAAAUAUAACUUUAUAUAUAGACCAAAGAGAAGAUAAAAAGUGAGAUAAAAGUAACUAAAUGUAAAGUUAUAUACAUACCAAAUAAAAAAAUCAACAGAAACAUAAACUAAGUCAACUAAUAUAUACAAUCAUCCGGAUAAAAAGUAGGGUGCACCCCCACAAAUAAAAGUUGGCAUUGUCCCCAAUGCCAACUAAACAAAUAAGCAUAAAAAAAUCAAGAGGAAAGGAUAUAGGACCUCCCUAAGCCUCGUCUGUCUACAUGGGAACAUGAAUGGUCCCCUGGUCCUCUGUAUUUACGGGAACCUCAGACUGGUUCCCGGUUUCCUUCUGCUCAGCUGCUGGGAUUGGCGCCUGGACCUGUACGGGCUGAAUAUUAGGAACAUCCUGUGGCUGACUGGAGGAAGCCUCCGGUGGAUCCGCCAACAGGAUGAUCGCCUCAUCUGCACUGGGGAGCUUCCUCUUCUUCUUUGGAAGCUGUUGUGUCUCUGCUACUGGUGUUGCUGCUGGGGAUGGAUCCUCGAAUAGCAAGUCUAAAGGCAGCUGGUCUACCUUCAGUUUGUCAACAUCCUCCCUCAGCGCCUUCACAAACUCCUUGGAAGACCGUGUUUUGUGCAACUUCUUAUGCUCCCUGGCAAGCUCCUUCAGGGCCUUGCCAUAUGAAUCCACCGCCUUAGCCAAGGCAGCCUGAGAAUCGAGGAUCGUUUGCUGGUUGGCAAGAAUCUCCUUAAGUGAAUCCUAGAUAGACUAGGGCACCUACACUAGCUGUGGUGCCGACUGAGCCGCAAUGGUAGAAGUCAAGGUGGACAACUUGGAUAAAGCAGUCGCCAUCCAGUUGUUCAAGCUAUGAAAUGUUUGGCUAAGCUGGUGGGCGGUGAUAGGAUGGGCCCAGGAAGAUGGAAUCCCUGGUCCAGCUGAAGUAGAGGGACCAACAGUAGUGGAAGGUCCGGGAGGCAUGUCAGCAACUGUGGAAGUAGGCUCAGUGGAGGGCUCUACCACAACCGGCUCUUUAGACUAGCCGGUUGGGGUAGAAGCAGGCGGCUUGUAAUUUUUGUCCUUGGGGUUGUCUGACCCCUUCAAACUGUACCAUGAGAACGGAGCCACAAGUUUGACCUUUAUGUCAAAAGGUCUCUUCUCCACCUCUAGGUCCCGGAAAUACAUAGUGAGGGUGCUGGGAAAAGGAUAGUUCCGGUCAUGCUCAACCCCAACUGCAGAAAUGACGCGGGACAUCAUAUUGCCCACAUUGAUAGGAUAUCCUGCCAUAAUAGUAGCAACAAGAACAGCCCGGGCAAGUGGAAUAGUCUGAUCAUGGGUAGUGGGGUCGAGCUGACUGCACACAAAAGUCAACCACCCUCUAGCCUCAAAGUUGAAAGUUCAACGACGUAUUUUUGUCCUGAUUGCAACCACUCUAGAACCGUACCCCGGGAUUUCCAUGUAUGAAGCUAACCACCGAUGAACCUCCUCGCCCAUUGCCAACUUUUCAUUGUAAAAGGACUCAUCUUCAUCAUUGAACCUAGGUAUUCAUUUAGUGCCUUCCCGGUAAACACCACAUUUUUGUUUCUCACUUUGGUGACCUUAGUGCCCUUCAAGAUGUGGGCCACAUUGCUAUAGAACUCCUUGCCCAUAUGAUCAUUAGCCUUUACACAAUUAUCUUUAAAGAACUCCCAACCCACUCGAGCCUGAAAUUGUCUAUAUACAUUGGGGUGUAGGGGUAGGAGGUCUCUGUCAAUGAAACUCCUUUCAAGAAUCAAUUUCCGUGCUGGCCACCAUUCCCUAAACUUGUGGAAUGCCACCUAGUUGACGAAUCUAUCCUCCCAAACAACGGGAUUCCUCGUCCAGUCAACACCCCCAACCUUCGGCACACCACCAGCCGAUAACUCCCCAUCCCCCUCAUCACCUCUAGCACCCUCUCCAGAUAUUGAUGUUGUGGGAGAGGUAGAGCAUUUAUCCCCUCUACCUGCCGUUGAGCCCUCAAACGACCCAGAAGAAAUGUUGAUUGAGGCUCGAGCAUAGGGGGGAAGAUGGGGGAGUGUCUCUAUGUAUGGCGUUCUCUGGAUAUGGGAUGUAUAGAGGGACUAAAUCUUAAGAGAUCUCCUGGGAGGGCUCGUACUCACUCCCCGAGGUCUCAAGGGCUCUAUCUGCCGCUUUGAUUGCUUUCCUUAUGUCCUUUAUGUUUUGUCUAGACUGGAGUGAGUUUUACCAUCCGUUGCUUCCCUCCCCGGGAGGAAUUACCUCGGCCGGGUUGUUUGGCACAUUUACCUCAUUGUUUGACCAUUAUAUGCAAGCAUACACAACUAACAUGGUUAGUAUCAGCAUAGGCAGUGAAACAAGUCUUGAAAUUGAAUUGCAGACAGCAGGUUAUAAGUUCAAUUUCAAUCACAUGGGCACCGCGGUCCACGCAAAAUGGUAAUGCGGACUGCGCCAGGGCACCGCAGACCGCACAAAGGCGACCACGGGCCGCAGAGAGUACUUUGAACAGGCACUAAGUUAGGGUUUAAGUUUUUGCUGUUUUUGUUCAAGUUUUCCACCUAACUUGUCCCUACUCAUUUUACCCAGUUCACAAAGGUCUCUAAACACACAACAUCCCACCAUUACACUUUUCGAGGCUAACAAAUGAAAUAAAAACGAGAAGAAGAAUAGACUCUAGCUACUGGGCAUGAAAAACAAAAUGAAAUUAUAAUAUAAAACAAAGAAAGAUGAUGAAAUAUUACCAGAUUGUGAUGAUGAGAUGCAAUUAAUCAGGCUAAACAAGAAUUACUAUCAGAAGAGAGAGUGAACAGUAUGUUUUAGGGGUCUGAGUGUUAAAAUUUCGAAAAGUGUAAGUUGUGACCCUUAGGAUCUAUUUAUAGAAAAACAAUGGGACCCAACCUUACCUGCUAGCGCGGCAGCACAAAACCGACCGCGGACCGCGCUAGGUUUGUUCAUAAUGAAGCUUGAUCAAGCAACCUCUGUGGUCCGCACAAAACAAUCCGCGACCGCAGAGAUCCACUGCGGUUUGCACUAAAUGGAAUGUGGCUGCGGUAGCAAACUUCAGAGAGUACAACUUUUCACCAUCACCAGUGCGGACCGCACAAAAGCAACUGCGGUCGCACUGGCAAUCUUCAGAGACUGUUCAACUCUUUUUUGUCAAACUAUUUUGCACUACAUCAACUCAAUCCCUGCAAUAUCUCACAAUCAGUUAGCUCAAAAAUCAAACCUACACUACCAAGAAAACACAGAAAACAACAAUAAGGAAAAAAUGACAUGUGUUGCCUCCCAAGCAACGCCUGAUUUAACGUCGCGGCACGAUGCAUGUUACCAGCACAUUACUUUAGAUGGAGAAGUGCCACCACGUGGUUAUCAUCAAAUUUCCCAAGAUAAUGCUUGACCCGAUGUCCAUUGACUCAGAAUACUUCACCACUCUUGUUCCUUAGAUCAAGAGCACAAAAUGGGGUCAUGAACACAACUUGAAACGACCCACUCCACUUUGACUUGAGCUUACCCAGAAACAGACAUAAUCGAGAAUUGAACAAGAGAACCAUAUCUCCAAUCUUGAACUCCUUGCCCCGAGCAUAUUUGUCGUGAAGGUACUUCAUUUUAUUCUUGUACAAGCACAAGCUGGAGUAGGCAUGAAAUCUAAACUCAUCAAGCUCAUUAAGUUGUUCAACCCGCAGAUUUGCCGCAACAUCCCAUUCUAAGUUCAACUUCCUCAAAGCCCAUAUGUCCUUAUGCUCUAAUUCCACCGAAAGAUGACAAGCUUUCGCAAACACCAACCGAUACGGUGACAUACCAAUCAGAGUUUUGUAAGCUGUCCGAUAAGCCCAAAGACCGUCAUCCAACAUUUUCGACCAAUCGGUCCUAUUAGCAUUGAUAGUAUUAGACAAGAUACUCUUAAUUUCUCUGUUGGAGACUUCCACUUGGCCACUAGCUUGAGGAUGAUAGGGGUUCAAAACCUUAUGAUUGACAUUGUACUUAGAAAGCAACGUGUCGAAAGCCUUGUUGCAAAAGUGAGACCCCUCAUCACUAAUGAUAGCACGAGGAGUGCCAAACCUUGUGAAGAUACUCUUUUUCAAAAAUGCCACAACACUCCGGGCUUCAUUGUUGGGCAAAGCCACGGCUUCAACCCAUUUUGAGAUAUAGUCCACCGCCACGAGAAUGUAAGUGUUUCCACAAGAGCUCACUAAAGGACCGAUGAAAUCGAUGCCCCAAACAUCAAAAUAUCCACUUCGAGAAUUGUAUUGAGGGGAAUCUCAUCCCUUUUAAAAAUUCUGCCAGCUCUUUGGCACUCAUCACAUCUCUUCACCAAAUCUCCCGCAUCUUUAAACAAGGAAGGCCAGUAAUAUCCACAACUAAGCACUUUAGAAGUCAUUCUCGCCCCGCCAUGAUGGACACCAUAGGGAGAGGAAUGACAAGCCUCCAAAAUACCCAAUUGUUCCUCCUCUGGGACACAUCGUCGAUUCACACCAUCCGUGCAAAUCUUGAACAAGUAUGGCUCAUCCCAAUACAAUUCCAAACUAUCCCGCUUGAGCUUCUUCAUUUGGUUAGAAGAGAGCUCACACGGGAUUAUUCCGGUCACAAGGUAAUGGGCAACAUCGGCAAACCAUGACAUAUCUUUCAUUGACACUGCAAGGAGUUGUUUGUCGGGAAAUGAAUCAUUGAUCUCAAGGCCAUCACAAGGCCUCCCCACCUCCUCCAAAUGGGAUAAGUGGUCCGCCACUUAAUUCUAACUACCCUUCCGAUCAACAAUUUCUAGAUCAAACUCUUGAAGAAGUAACACCCAUCUCAUCAAUCUCGCCUUGGAUUCUUUCUUGAUCAUCAAAUACCUAAGGGCGGCGUGAUCGGUGUGCACUAUAACUUUGGUAAGGUCGAAACUUUUCCAUAGCAAACACAAUAGCCAACAAUUCUUUCUCGGUGACUGUAUAGUUUCUUUGAGCCUCAUUCAUGGUAUUGCUUGCGUAGUACACUGGAUGAGACAUCUUGUUAAUUCUUUGGCCCAAAACAACCUCAACCGCAACGUCACUAGCAUCACACAUGAGCUCAAAAGGCAAGCUCCAAUUUGGUGCGGUAAUGAUGGGGGUAGAAGUCAACUUGAGAUUAAGAAGCUCGAAUGCGUUCAUACAACUCUCAUUGAACAAGAACUUUGCAUCUUUCUCUAGCAACUUGCACAACGGAUGUACCACUUUGGAAAAAUCUUUUAUGAACUUCCGGUAGAAACCCCGCGUGCCCAAGGAAAUUCCUCACCCCUUUGACAUAAGUAGGGGGAGGGAGCCUCGAAAUAACCUCAAUCUUGGCCUUAUCAACUUCAAUUCCUCUCUUCGAGAUCUUGUGACCCAACACUAUACCUUCUUCUACCAUAAAAUGACACUUUUCCCAAUUGAGAACAAGGUUGGUGUCUUCACAUCGGGCCAACACUCUAUCCAAGUUUACCAAGCACUCCUCAAAAGAAUCAACAACCACGCUGAAAUCAUCCAUGAAGACCUCCAAGAUAUCCUCCACCAUGUCAGUGAAAAUAGCCAUCAUGCAACGUUGGAAGGUCGCCGGAGCAUUACACAAUCCAAAUGGCAUUCUAGAGAAGGCGAAUGUGCCAUAAGGACAUGUAAAAGUGGUCUUAACUUGCUCCUAUGAGGCAAUUAGAAUUUGAUUGUACCCUGAGUAACCAUCCAGAAAACAAUAUAAAGCCCGGGCCGCAAGAUGAUCAAGCAUUUGGUCAAGGAAUGGCAAUGGGAAAUGAUCUUUUCUAGUCACCUUGUUCAGCUUCCGGUAAUCCAUACAAACUCUCCACCCGGUGACCGUUCUAGUGGGAAUGAGCUCAUUGUUGUCAUUGGUCACCAUGGUCAUACAACCCUUCUUUGGCACACAUUGCACCGGAGAGGUCGACGAACUGUCAGAAAUAGGAUAAACCACCCCUGCAUCUAGCCACUUGAUAACCUCUUUCUUCACCACAUCUUGUAUCACCUCAUUUAGUCUUCUUUGAUGCUCCAAGGAAGGCUUUGCAUCCUCCUCCAAGAUGAUUUUGUCCAUGCAAAAUGCGAGGCUUAUUCCCCGAAUAUCAGCUAGAGUCCAUCCAAUUAUCCUUUUCCGCUUUCGAAGAACUGCCAAGGUGGCCUCAACCUGCAUGUUAGUAAGGCAAGAAGAAAGAAUAACAGGUAAAGUAGAAUUUGAACCCAAGAAUUCAUACCUGAGGUUUGGAGGAAGUGGCUUCAACUCCAACAUUGGUGGCUCCUCAAUCGAUGGCUUUGUUGGUGGAGUUUUGCGGUUUUUAAGAUCCAAAGAUAGCCUCAUAGGCUGAUAUCACAGUUGUGACAAUGUCUACAAAUGAACACACCUUCGUGCUAUUAGGUUGUCUCAUUGAUUUGCAAACAUGGAAUACCACCUUCUCAUCCCCCACUGGGAAAGUCAACUCACCCACUUCAACAUCAAUCCAUGCCUUCCCCGUAGCUAGGAAAGUCCUACCAAGAAUAAUCGGCACUUCAAAGUACACCUCACAGUCCAAUAUGACAAAGUCGGUCAGCAGUAUAAACUUAUCCACCCGGAAAGGUACAUCAUCGAUUAUGCCCAAAGGUUGCUUCAUCGAUCGAUCCGCCAUUUUGAAGUCUCAUUGAAGUGGGUCGAGGUUGUCCAAUUCCCAAAGUCUUGAAGAUUGAGUACGGCAUCAAAUUUAUGGUGACACCCAAGUCACAAAGGGCCUUGGCAAAAUACGCACUUCCGAUAGUACAAGGGAUAGUAAAAGCUCCGGGAUCCUCAAGCUUAGGUGCCAUUGAAUGCACUAUGGAACUCACUUGAUGAGUCAUUUUAAUUGUUUCACACUCCAUCGACCUCUUCUUUGUUACCAAAUCCUUCAUGAACUUAGCGUACCCGGCAUUUGCUCAAGCGCCUCCACCAAAGUCACAUUGAUUGUGAGGCUCUUCAUCAUGUCAAUGAACUUUUUGAAUUGAUUGUCACUCUUUUGCUUUGCUAACCGUUGAGGAUAAGGUGGAGGUGGCCUAGGCAACAGUGCCUUGGCCUUUUGUACAACUGGCGCGGGCAUGUCAAUCACGUGUUCCCUAGACGGGUUCAUGGCAUCUUGAGUCUCUACCUCGGCUUCAUCAUCAAUAUCAACCCACACAUCAUUGUUCACAUUUUGAUUAACCACAUCAUCAACAACCAAAGGUACAUCAUCAUCCCGCAAUUCAACAUCUUCUUCCAUAAUUUGCUUUUGCUUUGAGGCAUUCACAUUAGCGCCUCUCCCACUUGUUGUUGUAACCGCCAUCACAUGAUUAUUAUUCCCACCCUUCGGGUUCACUACCGUAUCACUUGAUAGUGCACCCUUGGGACGAGUAUUCAACGCUUGAGAUAUUUGGCCUAAUUGCACCUCCAAGUUCCAGAUAGAUGUAUUAUGAGAAGCUAAUUAGGCAUCAGAAUGUUGGUUCUUUUUCAUAAUUUGCUCGAACAUGCUUUCAAUUCUCCCCAUAUCACUCCUGGAAGAAUUAGUACCUUGAGAAGGAAAGGGGGGUGGAUUGUUUGGUUGUUGGUACAUGGGGGCCUUUGAAAGCCUUGUCCCCGGUUGCCUUGGUUCCCGCUAUUGUUCCACCCUCCUUGAUUGUUGUUGUUGGCCCAAUUAUUGUUAUUACCAUUCCAAUUUCCUUGGUUGUUUUGAUUACCCCAGUUGUUGUUUUGGUUGUUAUUAUUCCAAUUGCCACCAUCUUGUUGUUGAUUGUUGUUAUUCCAAUUACCUCUGCCUUGUUGUUGAUUGCCCUAAUUUCCUUGAGGACACCAUUGUUGAUUUGAAGAGUUGUUAUUCCCUUGGCAGUUAUUGACAUAUUGGACCUCUUCGCUUUGGUCAUCAUAGCACUCAUUUGAAUAACCACCACCAUCAUUGUUGUUGUCAUAUUGUUCACAAUUACUUUGUGGAUAUUGCCCUCUUUGCCUCUUUUUCAACAUAGAAACACCUUCCAUUGUAUUAACUUGGCGUGGGUUUUGGACUUGUUGCAAUUGUGCCUUUGCUAAUUGAUUCAUAGUUAUUGUAAGCUGGGCAAUAGCUUGGCCAUGAUCGUGCAAUUCCUUGUGCAAAUGGAUGACCGUAGAGUCACCUUGGGGCACAUUUUCUCGACUUUUCCAUGCCGAAGAGGCAUCGUCCAUUUCAUCAAGUACAUCACAUGCCUCUUGGUAAGAAAGUUUCAUAAAGUUCCCUCUGGCCAAUUGGUUCACAAUGCAUUGAUUCGUGGUGUUGAUGCCCCGAUAAAAGGUUUGUUGAAUCAUAGCCUCGGUCAUGUCGUUAUUAGGGCACUCAUUCACCAUUGUUCUAUAUCUUUCCCAUAUCUCAUGCAAAGGUUCCGUUGGCUCUUGCUUGAAGACUAGAAUUUCAUCCCGAAGAGCCGCCAUAUGAUUUGGAGAAAAGAACUUGGCAAUAAAUUUAUCUUCCAAUUCAUCCCAUACUGUAAUAGAGUGAUUGGGGAGCCUUUCUAACCAAUACAAUACUUUACCUCAAAGAGAGAACGGGAAAAGCCUCAAUCUCAACGAAUCCUCGGACACGUUUGUCUGAUUACUACCCCAGCAUGUAUCCACGAACCCGUUCAAGUGCUUGUAGGCAUUUUGAUCGGAGCCGCCCAUGAAAUACCAUCUUUGCUCGAGCAAGGUCAACAUAACAAUUAUGAUUUGAAAGUUCCCCUCCCGAAUUCGGGGAGGCACAAUAGCACUGGCGUAUCCUUAAUUUGGUAAAACUCUGGAAGCCACUCUCGGUGGUUGCGGAGGAGGGUCUGGAAUAUUGUUGUUCUCAUUUGCAUUUAUAUUGGCAUUUUGGACCCUCUAUGGAACUUGAGGUAAGACCUCAUCUUGUUCUAGAUCCUCUACCUCCUCCCCCGCUAUCACAUUGCCGAGAGGGUCAUUUGCAUUAAGAGCCAUUUGUACCUGAUUAAUCGACACAAACAGAAUUAGUAAACAAGAAGGAAAGAGAAGCCAAACACAAAACUAACUAAACAGAUGUCAACACCGUAAGCUCCCCGGCAACAGCGAGAAAAAAUGAUCGUUGCCAACUCGAUGCUACACUAAGGUAGGAAGAGCGGGUUACAAUAGCUUUUACCCAAUAUGAGGGUUGGGAUCGAUUUCCUCAGGGAGCUAAUAGUGGAGUUGGAUUGUCUGUCUAUCCUAGAGAUGUGUUUGUACACCUAAUGUCACUUGAAACAUUUUUAGGUUUUCAAAUUAUCACUAUUUUUGUAAAACUAUUGAUUAACACUAAAUUAUGCUACGAGAAUAUUGCUAAGUUGUAUCUAAUGGGAAGUCGGGCACCAGGGUCGUGACACUACCUAGGUGGCUAAUUGACGGGUAGAUGUUACUAGGGUUCGAUUGACAUAAUUGAGGCUUAUGCUAUAACCGUUGCACAAUUUUACCCACUCUCACACCUCUCGAUAGAGAAAGUGACUUUGCCCAAUUGACUCUCUCGAGACCAAAUGGGUAGGAAAAUUAAACCAAGCAACUAGGGUUCAAGUAGGGUAAUUACUCUCUCGAGGUUUAACCCGUUAAUUGGGACUAUCAUUUCUCAUGAGUCCAUCCCAAUUCCUUGUUGGGUCAAUUUUGGGGUUGUAGACUCUCUUUCUCAAGAAGGGUUAAACCCACAAAGCAUGAAUCAUUGUUUGCAACCACCAAUUCUAUAUUAAAACAUAAAAUCAACCCAAAUAGCAAACACCCAUAGUCAAUCUAACACUAGAUGGUAACACCCAUCAAUUACCCACACUAGGGUUGAGCUACAACCCUAGAUAAUGGGUUUAGCUACUCAUGCUAGAUAAGGAAAUUGAAGAAAUAGAUGAAGAACUAAGCAUAUUAAUUAAUUGCUACAAUUAAAUUGCAAGAAUUUAUCGUAAAUGUAAAGCAAAAGUGCCAAAAAUGACUACAAAAUACGUUCUCAUGAGCGCAACUCUCUACUGAUGUAUCUGCUUCCCUAAUAAAUGGUAAAAUGUUCUAUUUAUACUAGGCUGGAAAAACUGGACAAAAAUACCCCUGCGGGGUCAGUGCGGGGUCACUUCUGCUUCUCUGAACUUGGACUCUACGGAUCGCGUUGAAUGGACCGCGGUCGCGGAGGGAGCUGGCGCGGUCCGUGCAACCACGACCGCGGACCGCAUGGCACUAGCUUUGCAAACUCAAUCUCUCUGAACCUCAUGACCAUAGACCAUACAAAAGAGUAGUACGGCUGCGGAGCCUUCACCGCAGACCACGAGAUGUGUAUCGCGGCUGCGGUUCUUCUAGUCCUGAUUCACCAACUCUCUGAACCACCUAGUGUGGCCGCAUUCCACUUUUCGUGGUCUGCACUAGCCCUUCUUUUCUUAAUAUUUCUUGGUCGUUGAUACUUUAGCAGGUUUAAUUCCUUUUUGAGUCGAUCUUUGACAUUUCGUCACUUUGUCGAUCAAACCUGCGAUCAAGCACAACUUGUGAGUCUUUUAGAACUAUUUUGUAACAAUAUAUGAUCAAAGCAUAGGCAAGUAGGGGCAUAAAACCUGUUAAAAUUCCUAACUUAUCAGCCGACGACAACGACUUUUAUUUUUUGCCCUUGGGCGUACGCAUUUUAACCACUUUUGGGUUCAGUCUCCGAGUCGAGUUCUGACUCGAGCUCAAUCGACCCUCAAGUUUUACGUUUGCAUGGGAUGGUGACAAUGGCUCUUACGCCUUGGGUCGAAGUGACCUUUUAUGUAUGUGGCCCUGAGGCUUGUAGAGCUGGCGACGAUGGCUCUUACGUUGUGCCCUUAGGCAUAUGUAGUUAACUAUUUUGGAUCCGGUAUCCGAAUGGGUUACGAUUUGAGCUCAUUUUAAUCCUCAAACUUUCAAAUUUUAAGCUGGUGACGGUGGCUCUUACACUUUGGUCGUUGCGACCUUUUAGUGUGUGGACGUGAGGCACAUUUGGCUAGUAACUAUGGCUCAUAUGCUUUUGCCCUUAGGCAUAUGUAGGCUUUGUUUUUCCCUUGUUAAGGUCCUUUUUAAAAUAAUUUUGCCUGACCCGUCGUCGGUUCGGGAAGAACCUCGAUUUCAAGUCAUUAGCGGCGAUGUUCGAGCACCUCGGGAGGUUUAGCUCGUAGGCUGAGUAACUUGAAGCCUUGCGAUUUGGAGCUGACAUGGUUGAAGCUCGUUUGCCUGUUGAAGGUAGCCUAUUUUAAUCGGUUCUUUUCGAAGUAGAUUUGAAGUAAUGGCAUGCAAUUUUGUUAGCGACGAUCAGGCGUCCCUGAGUCGCGUAAUUUGGCUGGUGCAGCCAUUUUGACUGUAGUCAUAUGUGUUUGGCCGGAGCUAUUUUUGAUCCCGAGUGUGAUAGUUUAGGUGUCUACAUCGAGGGUAUGCCCUUUCGGGAGUCUUACAAAUGCUACAUAUAGCCUAAACUUUGGGAUUGAGUUUUAUGGUUGUAGUGAAGUCUUACUAAAAUUUCAUGUCUGUUAAGGUUUUACAGUUUUUUCAUGCCUGUUGAGGUCUUACAGUUUUUUCAUGCCUGUUGAGGUCUUACAGUUUUUUCAUGCCUGUUGAGGUCUUAUAAUUUUUUGUUGUUAUGUAAAAUAGAUCUGGCUAGAUCGAGUUUGCUCGCUUAGGGUCUUACGGCCUCUGGUUUUCCAGUGAAUGGCAGUUGAUGAUAGUCUCUGAGUCAUCGAGUUUGCUUAGGCUCGAAGGACAUUACUCAUGAGCUCGGAAUUGCCUCGUUGGGGCCUUAUGAGCAUGGAAUUCUGACCCUAAGGUCGUGUGGGUGCCAAAUUGUUGACGCCAAGUCUCUGAGUAUUUCGGGAUGUACUCGGUGGAUGGAUCCUUGCCGUGAGCAUGCUGAAUUUUCUUUUGGAGUACGAGAUGCUUUUGGCGAAAGAUAUUCUUUGAUUGCUUGGCGUACAUACAUAUCGUUGUGUUGCCUUAAGCCCGGCUUAUGCGGGCACGGUUCAUUCGACCGUUUGGUCCGGUACAUCAUUUCCUAUUGGAACCUCGUUUGUCAUUUCCCGGUACAUGGUUGAUUGCAAAGAGAAUCUGGUAGGCUUGUUGAGUCUUUCUUGGGAAGUGCGUGGACGUUUCCUUGUUAAAAACCUCAUUGGCAAAAACCCAUUUCAAGAUAAAAAACUGGUCAAAGGAAAGGAGUGCAACGGACUCUUUGAAACCUCAGGGUCCUCGAGUCGGAGCGGCGUCCCGACUGCCUUGGUCACUGGUCUGCGCAAGAGUCACCGUGAAGUAAAAGAUAGAAAAAAUGGAGAGGUGAUUAUACCUUGGUCUGCGCAAGAGUCACCGUUUAUUUGGCGGAUGCUAUAUGUUCCUUUAUUUGAAUACGUCCGGGAGCGAGCAUCAAAAAAUCAUGUGGAUGACGUGUUGUGGGCUCAUCUACUUUGUUUUUUUGGUUGUUUCUCUUUCUCGGGACUGGUUUUUAGCCCGGUUGCUGAGAAAUUCCCGAAGGUGCCCAUUAUCGAGUAGUUGGGCCACUUCCUCUUAGAGUUGCCUGCAAUCCUCAGUUUUGUGCCCGUGCGAGUUGUGAAACUUGCAAAUCAAGUUGUAGUUACUUUGGGAAGGAUCAGAGUGUAUAGGCCUCGGCCAUCUGGCGACCCUGAUUUUGCUGAUGGCGAACAUGAUGUCUGAUAUGUCGACGUUGAAGUUGUAUUCUGAUAGGCGAGGUGCCCUCGUUCACCCCGUGUCCCCUUCGAAGCCACCUCUAUUGAGGGGUCCCCGAGGUUUCUGUCCUUUGUUCACCAAUCGAUCGUUGCGAGGCGGAUUGCAUCUCGGAGUAUUCCUCAUAUCAUCGGGGUACAGCUGGUACCUCCCUUUAUUUAAUCUUGACUCUUUCGCUAAGAGUCUACUCAGAUAUACUAAGCCCGAGGGGGCUCUAGCUGGUCAUCCUCGACCCUAACUUUGACUGGUAUCGAUUGUGGAUGUCCAACCAGUUCACGGCGGGAUACUCGAUCAGAUUCUCUUUCAGCUGCCUUGAGGCCACCGAGCUUCAUUCAUUCAGGUCUUGAGUGAAGACCUGCACUGCCUAAUCAUUGAACACCAGGGGUAGUUCCAUUCGUUCUGUCUGGAAACGAGACACGAAUUCUCACAGCAUUUCAUUCUUCCUCUGCUUAAUCUUGAAUACGUCGGAUUUCCUUGUUACUACCUUGAUGGCACCGGCAUGCGCCCUUACUAAGGAAUCCGCUAACAUGGCAAAUGAAUCUAUAGAGUUGGGGGCUAGGUUGUGGUACCACAUCAUGUCCCCCUUCGAAAGCAAUUCUCUGAACUUCUUUAGUAAGAAGAACUCGAUCUCAACGUCUUUUAUGUCUUAGCCUUUCACCGUGCAUGUAUAGGCAGUGACAUGUUCGUUGGGAUGCAAUGUCUCAUUGUAUUUUAGGAUUUCUGGCAUCUUGAACUUCUUUGGAAUGGGUUUCGGAGCCGCUUCCUUUGCCGUUGCACAAACUUCCUCGAAUCUACACCCUUCAAGAUCGGGGGCGCACCCGAGAUUUGGUCGACUCUAAAGUUAUAAGUUUCAACCUUCUUAUCGUUUGCUUCUAUCAUUUUCUCACCUGACUCGAUCGUUUUGGUGAGGUCCUCCAGCAUUUUCACGAUGGCAGGAUCGGCUACUAAUUCGUUGUUGCUUGACCUCUCCGGUACCUGUUCGGCCAGGGGAGUAGUUUCUGGCGCUACUAUGCUGGGAGUCUUCGGGUGUCUUUGCAACUGAGAGAUAGCCAACUGUUGUGCCUGCACCAUUUCAAAAAUAUCAUGAAGACUAACUUCCUGUACUUCCCGUCGGGGUCUUCUGGGCUUCCUGUUGGUUGCCAUGUUGUAUGCUUCUGUCGGUGUUUGAGGUUUCAUCGACCUGUUGCGCGUCUUGGAACCCGCGUCCACUGGAAUCAGUCCAGGUGCAUAAUCGGGGUUCUGUGGUAGCGCGCCAAAGACAGAAACAACCACACCAUUUUCUCCGUGAUUUUCAAGGUUGUCAUUCUCAACUCUGUUUACUGAGCCAAACAUUUUGUCCUGAAAUCAAAAGAUCUUGGACAAGAAAAAGUGUGAAAGAUAACUUGCGUUUGUGUAAUGAAACCAGCAAGAAAAUAAUUACUAUUAUUUUUAGCCCCACGGUGGGUGACAAACUGUUUACCGUGAAAAUAGAAAUAACAAUUAAAUUUGUAAAUAGGACUCUAAAAAUACAUGAUCUAUUUUUAUGCUAGUUGUUUAGUGCAGUUGAUGCUAGGCGUAUGAAGUUUAACGACGAAAUACAAGUUAAAACGGGGCAGUGAUCAAACCGAGGGGCUUGCUUCCCCGACUUCAGACUGAUCGAUGAAAGGCCUCGAGGUCGAUACCCGGCUCUAGAUCGAGCUAUCGGGGGUAACCGGGAAAGGGACAACAGUUAAGAUAUAAUUAUAUGAGGCUCUUUAUGGCCAAUAUCAAGCAAUGAAUGAAGAAUAAGUAAGAAAGCAAUAAAUGUAAAGAGUAGCCUCGAGCGAGUAAAUUAGAAAGAAAAGAGAGAGAAAGAAGGAGAGAGAGAGAGAGAUAUAUAUUAUUGAUCAUGUGUAGAAUGGUUGGAGCAACAACCGCCCUUUACAAAGUGGUGAGGAUCCCCUUUAUACAGGAGGAGUAAUACAACAUAGUACAGAAUGCAUUAAGUGUAAAGACACAGAGAUGGGAUGACUAGACAUGAUAUCAGACUCUACUUACGCCAUUUGCUCGCCUCGAGGUUUCCCCACCCUCGGGGUUAUUGGUGGGUCGAACGUGAAUGAACUUUGAGGGGGAGAACUUGGCCGCAAUCCCGCAGCCUCAAAAUAUUGAUACGACUCCCCAAAUACACCUUAAUGGCGAGAAAUUGGACCUUCUGGUUUCACCGUAUACAAAGUGCUAAACAAUUAUAAAUAGAUCGAUAUGAAUGUUGAGGACCACCUAAUUUCAUAGUAGGAUUUAACAAGGCAGCAAUACCAUAAAUAGGGGGAAUAGGAUAAAAAUAUUUUUUUAAUUUCUUUCUCAUAGAAUCAAUAGCUACUUCAUAAAUUUCUCCACCCUCUGAAAAAUAAGCAAACAAAUUUGCAAGAUCUGCAAGAUAAACUAAACAAUUCGAAAUAGUAGGAUAAUAUUGCCCAGAAAAUUCAUUUGCAGCAACAUGAAAUCUUUCUAAAAAAAAUUCAAGCAUUUUAACAUUAUCCCAAUCUGCAUUUGUAAGGUGCUCAUCAUCAUCACUUACAUGAGCAUUAAACAUUGAGUUUAUGGGGUUACUAUAUUCAUAUGCAACAACUAAACUUUUAUACAUGUAAUUCUAUCUAGUUGGACAAGGUUUAGGAACCUUUCUUUCUCUUAGGCAAAAUUCAUCACAUCUUUUUAAAUAUUCUCUAAGUCUACUUCUACGGUCUAAAUAAAAAAGCCAGUUAAGAGACAUUUUAACCUUUUCAAUUUCAACAUUUAAAAUUCUCAUACCAUCAUCCACAAUUAAAUGGUAAAGAUGACAAAUAUAUCUAACAUGAAAAAUGUUACUAAAUGCAAGACUUAGUGUAGAGGGUAAGCAACUCUAUAUCAUUUGUGUUACUAGUAGCAUUAUCCAUUGAAGCUGACAUUAUUUUAUCACUAAUGCAAAAAUAUCUACAAAUAUCCGUAACCGUGCUAGAAAUAAACUACCCUGUGUGACAUGAAUUAAUUAUUCUAUAAGCAAUAAUGCACUUUUGCAUUAUCCAAUCCUCAUCAAUACAAUGACUGGUAACAGUAAGGUAAUCACGAUCAUUACCUCUUCUACCAAUAUCAGUUGUAAUAGCAACACGAUAAUUUAUAUGAGUAAAUAAAUAGUGCAAAUAUUGUUCAUAUUUAUAAAUAUCGCUCUUUACGGUCAAGGCUAUAAACUCGUUAAAUACAUCAGUGUAGUGCGCGUGCGGCCCAGAACAUCUAAGGGCAUCACAUACCUAUUAUUGCCUCAAAUUUCCACGGCCUAAAAGGUCGUAGUCCCUCUAAGAAGCUGGCUGCAAAGGGAUACCUCUGCAUAGCUAGUUAGCAGGCUGAGGUCUCGUUCGUUAACGGAAUUAACAAGACAAAUCGCUCCACCAAUUAAUAACGGGCAUGCACCACCAUCCAUAGAAUCAAGAAAAAGCUCUCAGUCUGUCAAUCCUUACUAUGUCUGGACCUGGUAAGUUUCCCCGUGUUGAGUCAAAUUAGGUCGCCGGCUCCACUUCUGGUGGUGCCCUUCAUUCAAUUACUUUAAGUUUCAGCCUUGCGACCAUACUCCCCUAGAACCCAAAAACUUUUAUUUCUCAUAAGUUUCUGGCGGAGUCCUAAAAGCAACAUCUGUCGAUCCUUGUUAGGCAUCAUUUAUGGUUGAGACUAGGACGGUGUCUGAUCGUUAUCGAGCCCUCAACUUUCGUUCUUUAUUAAUGAAAACAUCCUUGGCAAAUGCUUUCGCAUUUCGUAUUUCAUCAAUCCAAGAAUUUCACCUCUGACUAUGAAAUACGAAUGCCCCCGACUAUCCUUGUUAAUCAUUACUUCGAUCCCGAAGGCCAACGUAAUAGGAUCAAAAUCCUAUAAUGUUAUCCCAUGCUAAUGUAUACAAAGUGUAGGCUUGCUUUGAGCACUCUAAUUUCUUCAAAGUAACAGCGUCGGAGGCACGACUCGGCCAAUUAAGGCCAGGAGCGCAUCGCCGGCAGAAGGGACGAGACGACCGGCGCACACCUAAGGCGGACCGGCCGGCCCAUCCCAAAGUCCAACUACGAGCUUUUUAACUGCAACAACUUAAAUAUACACUAUUGGAGCUGGAAUUACCGCGGAUGCUUGCACCAUACUUGCCCUCCAAUGGAUCCUCGUUAAGGGAUUUAGAUUGUACUCAUUCCAAUUACCAGACUCAUAGAGCCCGGUAUUGUUAUUUAUUGUCACUUCCUCCCCGUGUCAGGAUUGGGUAAUUUGUGCGCCUAUUGACUUCCUUGGAUGUGGUAGUCAUUUCUCAGGCUCCCUUUCCAGAAUCGAACCCUAAUUCUCCAUCACCCGUCACCACCAUGCUAGGACACUAUCCUACCAUCAAAAGUUGAUCGGGCAGAAUUUUGAAUGAUGCAUCCUCGGCACGAUGGUCGUACGAUCCGUCGAGUUAUCAUGAAUCAUCGCAGCAAUGGGCAGAGCCCAUGUCGACCUUUUAUCUAAUAAAUGCAUCCCUUCCAGCAGUCGAGGUUUGUUGUACGUAUUAGCUUUAGCAUUACUACGGAUAUCUGAGUAGUAGAUACCAUCAAACAAGCUAUAACUGAUUUAAUGAGCCAUUCACAGUUUCACAGUCUGAAUUUGUUCAUACUUACACAUGCAUGGCUUAAUCUUUGAGACAAGUAUAUGACUACUGGUAGGAUCAACCAGGUAGCAUUUCCUAUUGAUGCCGGUGUCGCAUGAGCAUGGCCGAUCCAAAGGGCACGACCAAGUCCAAGACGACCACGACCAUCAUUCGUAAGGAGCAUUAUUUGGUAGAUAGGAGCCAAUAAAGACCCCAUGCCCAUUGCGUUUACCAAAUCCGAGGGUUCGAGCAUAUUAGUCGUGGACCAAGACAUCAAAAGGCGAAGCGAGGAUGACCUGGGACACAACUACAUCUUUUGGUUCACCCCGCACGUCGAACGCGAGGGGCGAAAGGCAACCGAUUGUGCUUGAUAAUGCCUUGGAAUUAGGUAUGCAACACAGAAAACCGACGCCAAACAAGCCUAAUUUGCGUUUGUGCCAUGACUGAGAUGGCAUGCAAGCUAGGACGUCGCUGCUCAAGCAGGGAUCCAACCUAGCCACACAAGUCGAACACCACUCAUGUGCUGCACGUACACAUGCCUCGCCAAUACAAACAACCCCAACACGCGAUGAGCAGCCAUUUGUUGUUGCCGACGCCAACAUUGCAAAACCAAGACAAGACCUACAAAGCACAAACAAGGGGUUGGAGCGAUGCCAGACACAACCCAUAACAACCGAUGUCAAUCGGCAAUGUACUGAGCUUCACCUUAUGCACAUGGCACCUUGCAAUGCUACUUACACAAUGCUUCGCUGUUCCGUUGCAAAAAGUCAUUAGCCACCGCGAGCGAUGUCUCCUCCCGAUGUUGCCCGCAACACCUAAUGGCAAUUGACAUGUACUAAGCAUAGCCCCAUGCGCACGACACCUUGCGGCACUACUUGCACGACUCUCCACCAUUCAUUGCCAAAAGCCAUUGGCUACCACGAGCGAUGCCAGGCACAAUCCAUAACAACCGAUGGCAAUAGACAACUUACUAAGCUUUGCCCCAUCGCAUGGCACUUUGCGGCGCUACUUGCACGGUGUUUUUGUCGUUCCAUUGCCAAAAGCCAUCAACUGCCACGAGCGAUGUCACCCCCUGAUGUUGCCCGCAACAACCAAUGGCAAUCAACAUGUACUGAGCUUAGCCCCAUUUGCACAGCACCUUGCGGCGCAACUUGCACGACGCUGCGCCAUUCGUUGUGAAAAGCCAUCGGCUGCCAUGAGCGAUGCCAGACACAGCCCACAACAAUCGAUGGCAUCGGCAACUUACUAAUCUUCGCCCCAUGCGUAUGCACCUUGCGGCGCCACUUGCAUGACGCUUUGCCAUCCCUUUGCCAAAUGCCAUCAGCCGCCACGAGCGAUGUCGCCUUCUGAUGUUACCCACAAUAAUCAAUGGAAAUCGACAUGUACUGAGCUCGCCCUAUGCGCACGGCACCUUGCAGCGCUACUUGCAUGACACUACGUCGUUCGUUACCAAAAGUCAUCAGCUCCCACGAGCGUUGCCAGACACAACCUACAACAACCGAUGGAAAUCAACAAUUUACUGAGCUUCACCCCAUGCGCAUGGCACCUUGCAGCGCAACUUGCACGACGAUUUGCCAUUCCAUUGCCAAAAGCUACUAGCCGCCACGAGCGAUGUCACCUUCCGAUGUUGCCCACAACAACCAAUGGCAAUCAACAAGUACUGAGCUUCAGUCAUGAGCACGACCCCUUACGGCGCUACUUGCACGACGAUCCGCCGUUACUUACCAAAAAGCAUUAGUUGCCACGAGGGGGUGUCAAACAAAACCCCCAACAACCGAUGGCAAUUGGUAAUUUACUGAGCUUCGGCCCAUGUGCAUGGCACCUUGCGGCGCUACUUGCAUGAAGCUUUGUCGUUCCAUUGCCAAAAGCUAUCAGCCGCCACGAGCGAUGUCGCCUCCUGAUGUUGCCCGCAACACCUGAUGGUCAUCAACAUGUACUGAGCUUCACCCCAUGUGCAUGGCACCUUGCGGCGCCACUUGCAUGAUGUUGCGUUGUUCAUUUUCAAAAGCCAUCAGCUGCCACGAGCGGUGCUAGACACAACCCACAAUAACUGAUGGCCAUUGGCAACUUACUAAGCUUUGCCCCAUGUACAUGGCACCUUGCCAAGAUACUUGCACGAUGCUCCACCAUUCCAUUGCCAAAAGCCAUUAGCCACCACGAGCGAUGUCGCGACCUAAUUUUGCCCACACCAUCCAAUGGCAAUCAACUUGUACUGAGGUUAGCCCCAUACGCACGACACCUUGCGGUGCUACUUGCACGAUGCUCCACCGUUCGUUGCCAAAAGCCAAUGUUUCCCGCGAGUGGUGUCGCCACCGGACGUACUACGAGCUCACACGAGUACUUGCCAGCACGGUUUGCGAACAUUAGGGACGUAGCACGGACAAGCCGUGCAUGCCCCUAAUGUCCACACCCCAGGCCAGCGUCGCCCAUGCAUGCCCGCCUAUGCCAGGAAGCAAGCACUUGAGGUGUCUUUCAACACCUCUACCCCCAUUAUAUAUGCUUAAAAAAAACUCAAGUUUCAGGAGUAGACAUGUUUUGGCCAGAGAAUCAUAAUAGAUAUGUACAACACCAAAUAGCACAAACUAAAGUACAACUUAGCUAAUAUAUUCACAAUGACUUUUAAACAUUGUAAAUGAUAUUUUUUUACAAAAAAUAAUAUCUUUUGAAAUAUUUUUAUUAUAAAACGAAAAAUACUUAAUAAAAUACUAAAAAAUAUGAAAAUUAUUAUAAAUAUAGCAAAAACAAUGGAGAAAAAUUCCAAUACAUCUUUUAAUAAUAUAACACAUAAAAGAGUAAAUAUUUUUCUAUAAAAGUAACAUAAAAAUUAUUUAAAAUUACAAAAAAUGCAUAAAAAAUAGGUGAAAUACAUAAUAUUAUUAUAAAAGCAUAUAGAUGACCAACCACCAAUAAGCAUGAGGAACCUCCAUUGUCACAACACCAAAUAGCACAGACUAAAGUAAAACUUAGCUAAUAUAUUCACAAAUGACUUUUAAACAUUGUAAAUGAUAUUUUUUACAAAAAAUAAUAUUUUUUGAAAUAUUUUUAUUAUAAAACGAAAAAUACUUAAUAAAAUACUAAAAAUAUGAAAUUUAUCAUAAAUAUAGAAAAAACAAUGGAGAAAAAUUCCAAUACAUCUUUUAAUAAUAUAACACAUAAAAGAGUAAAUAUUUUAUAAAAAAAGUAAAAUAAAAAUUAUUUAAAAUUACAAAAAAUGCAUAAAAAUUAAUAAAAAAUAGAUUAAAAAAUAGGUAAAAUACAUAAUAUUAUUAUAAAAGCAUAUAGAUGACCAACCACCAAUAAGCAUGAGGCACCUCUAAUGUCGUAACCAUAACAAGCGAUUCCGAUUUGAAACCACCACCGCCAACAACCAAGCAUCGACCAACCAUCGUUGGUCGCUACCGCGACUUUCCACCACCGCCACUAACGACCACCAACAUCAUUGCGCUUGACAUGUUGCUAAGCAUUGGCUAGAACUAGACGUUGUGCGAUGUGGAGCGACGUGGUGCAACGUGGUUCGAUGUGGUGUGGCUUGGUGCGACGUCGUGCUACGGCCAUGCCCUGCCAUGUCCUGCGACGCACUGACACGUCCUGACACAUCAUGCGUCGUUCCAUUGCCACCCCUACCAUGUCCUGCGACGUCCUAACUUUUGCUAUGGCCACGCCCUACCAUGUCCUACGACGUCCUGACUCAUCUUGCGUCGUGCCAUAGCCACACCCUUCCAUGUCCUGCGGCGUCCUGACACGUGCCAUGGCCAUGCCUUGCCAUGCCCUGCGACAUCAUGACACGUCCUGACCAGUGCCAUGGCCACGCCCUGGCAUGUCCUGCGAUGUCCUGACACGUCCUGACCCAUGCCAGGUCCAUGUCCUGCGACGUCCUGACUCGUGCCAUGGCCAUGCCCUGCCAUGUCCUGCGACGUCCUAACACGUCCUAUCCUGUGACAUGGCCAUGUCAUGUGAUGUCCUGACACGUCCUGACUCGUGCCAUGGACAUGUCCUGCGUCGUCCUGACACCUGCCAUGCCAUAUCCUGCAACGUCCUAACACGUGCCAUGGCCAUAUCCUGCGACGUCCUGACACGUGCUCUGGCCAUAUCCUGCGAAGUCCAGACACAUAAUGACAUGUGCCAUGGCCAUGUCCUGCGAAGUACUGACACAUCCUGAACCGUUCCAUGAACAUGUCCUGCGACGUCCUGACACGUGCCAUGGACAUGUCCUACAAUGUCUUGACACGUCCAGACAUAUGCCAUGGCUAUGCCCUGCCAUGUCCUGCAACAUCCUGACGCAUGACAUGGACAUGCCCUGCCAUGUCCUGCGACGUCCUAACACGUCCUGACUUGUGUCAUGGCCAUGUCCUGCGAUGUCCUGACACAUCUUAACACGUGCAAUGGCCAUGCCCUACCAUGUCCUGUGAUGUCCUGACACAUCCUGACCCGUGCCAUGGCCACAUCCUGCCAUGUCUUGUGACAUCCUAACACGUCAUGACACGUGCCAUUGCCACACGCUACCAUUUCCUGACACUUCCUGACUCGUGCCAUGGCCAUGUCCACCAUGUCCUGCAACGUCUUGACAUGUCCUGACCCGUGUCAUGGCUAUAUCCUGUGACGUCCUGAAACGUCCUGACACGUGCCAUGGCCAUGUCCUAUGAUGUCCUGACACGUGUCAUGGAUUUGCCCUGCCAUGUCAUGCGACGUCCUGACAUGUGCCAUGGCCAUGCCCUACCAAGUCCUAUGACAUCUUGACACGUCCUGACCCGUGACAUGGCCACGCCCUUCCAUGUCCUGCGACAUCCUGACAUGUCCUGACCUGUGCCAUGGCCUCUCCCUGCCAUGUCCCACAGCAUCCUAACACGUCCUAACUUAUGCCAUGGCCACGCCUUGCCAUGUCCUGCGACGUUCUGACAUGUCCUGCGACAUUCUGACACGUCCUGACUCAUGUCAUGGCCACGCCUUGCCAUGUUCGGUGACGUCCUGACUCGUGCCAUGGCCACACACUGCCAUAUCCUGCAACAUCCUGUCACGUCCUGACCCGUGCCAUGGCCACGCCCUGCCAUGUCAUGCGACGUCCUGACUCAUCCUGACAUGUGCCAUGGCCAUGGCCUGCGACGUCCUGACACGUCUUGACCCGUGCCAUGGCCAUGUCCUGCGAUGUCUUGACACGUCCUAACUCGUGCCAUGGUUACGCCCUGCGACGUCCUGACCUUUGCUAUGGCCACACCCUACCAUGUCCUGCGACGUCCUGCCAUGUCCUAUGUCGUGCCAUGGCCUUGGCCUCUCAAGUGACACCCCAAAAAACCGCUACUUGCGACGUAGCAUUGGCAAAUCUUUCUUGGCUUGUGCCUUGGCCUCGCACUGCGACGCCUCAAAAAACCUCUACUUGACAACUUGUAUUAGCACAUCAUCCUUGGCAUAGGCCUCGGCCUCGUAAGCGACACACCGAAUAACCUCUACUUGCGGCAUUGUAUUGGCACAUCGCCCUUGGCAUAGGCCUCGGCCUCGCAACCGAUACACCGAAAAACCUCUAGUAGUGAAAAUUGGUUAGGUAUUUCCCGCGACAUGACUAAGUGUCAAGUCACAUUGGCCACUUAAUACACAAAUAGUAUACGUUCCAAGGUCUUGACGACUUUUUCGAUUUUCCAACACUAAGUAUUAUAUAACAUCAAGGGAGGAGUAAACCUCUUCUUGGAAAAGUUAGAAAAUGAUUGGAUUGGAGGGAGAGGGAUGACGAAUUAUAGCGACAAAGGGAUGAAUCUUAGUGGAUUGUGGUAGCAAGGCUACUCUGCCACUUACAAUACCUCGUCGCGUAUUUAGGUCAUCUGUAAAGGAUUCUACCCGCCACUCGAUGGAAAUUAUACUUCAAGGCGGCCACCGCGGCUUUUCCGCCGCGAUGACCUAGACAACAAUAUAUGCCCUUGGGGGACAAAGGCCCCUACUACGGGUCGACAAGAGGACGGCGAGCGCAUGAGUCUCUUCUAGCCCGGAUUCUAACUUAGAGGCGUUCAGUCAUAAUCCAGUGCAUGGUAGCUUCACGCCACUAGCUUUUUAACCAAGCGCAAUGACCAAUUGUAUCAAUUGUUCCUCUCAUACUAGGUUGAAUUACUAUUGUGAUACUGUCAUCAGUAGGGUAAAACUAACCUGUCUCACGACGAUCUAAACCCAGCUCACGUUCCCUAUUGGUGGGUGAACAAUCCAAUACUUGGUGAAUUUUGCUUCACAAUGAUAGGAAGAGCUGACAUCGAAGGAUCAAAAAGCAACGUCGCUAUAAACACUUGGCUGCCACAAGCUAGUUAUCCAUGUGGUAACUUUUUUGACACCUCUAGCUUCGAAUUUCAGAGGUCCAAAAGAUCGUUAGUCCACGCUUUCACGAUUCGUAUUCGUAUUGGAAAUUAGAAUCAAACGAGCUUUUACCCUUCUGUUCCACACGAGCUUUCUGUUCUCGUUGAGCUCAUCUUAUGACACCUGCGUUGCCUUUUAAUAGAUGUGCCGCCCUAGCCAAACUCCCCAACUAACAAUGUCUUCAGCCCGAAUCGGCCUGCAAGCAAGCCUUGGGUCCAAAAAAAGGGGCAGUGCCCCGCUUCCAAUUCACGGAAUAAGUAAAAUAACGUUAAAAGUAGUGGUAUUCCACUUUUACCUUUCCGCUCCCACUUAUACUACAACUCUCAAGUCAUUUCACAAAGUCGGACUAGAGUCAAGAUCAAUAGUGUCUUCUUUCCCCGCUGAUUCUGCCAAACCCAUUCCCUUGGCUAUGGUUUCGCUAGAUAGUAGACAAAGAUAGUGGGAAUCUUGUUAAUCCAUUCAUGCGCGUCACUAAUUAGAUGAUGAGGAAUUUGGCUACCUUAAGAGAGUCAUAGUUACUCCCGCCAUUUACCCGUACUUAGUUGAAUUUCGUCACUUUGAUAUUCAGAGCACUAGACAGAAAUCACAUUACAUAAACAUCCGUAGGGACCAUCGCAAUGCUUUGUUUUAAUUAAACAGUCGGAUUCCCCUUGUCCGUACUAGUUUUGAGUUGGCUGUUUAACGUCCGGGAAAGGCCCCCGAAUGAACCGGUCCCAGUUCGUCCCCCAGCCGGCACGCGGCGACCCACUUUCGCCGCGGGAGCAGCUCAAGUAGUCCACCGACAGCUGACGGGUGCGGGACUAGGACCCACAUGCCAAGCCCUUAGAGCCAAUCCUUUUCCCAAAGUUACAGAUCCAUUUUUCCGACUUCCCUUGCCUACAUUGUUCCAUCGACUAGAGGUUGUUCACCUCGGAAACCUGAUGCGGUUAUGAGUACGAUCGAGCAUGGACGACACUCGGUCCUUCAGAUUUUCAAGGGCCGUCGGGGGCGCACCGGACACCACUGGAUGUGCGGUCAUCUUCCAGCCGCUGGACCCUACCUCCAACUGAGUUAUUUCCAGGGUGGGCAUGCUAUUAAACAAAAAAGAUAACUCUUCUUUAGGACCCCGCCGACAAAUCCGGACUUUCUAACGUUGCCGUCAACCGCCAUGUCCCUAAUUCCCUUUAAGAGUACGCGUGAAACGCGCUAUAUAUCAGGGUUUCCCCAACCCUUAAGAUCGACUAACCCAAGUGCAAGUGCCGUUCACAUAGAACCUUUCCCCUAUUCGGCUUUCAAAGUUCUCAUUUGAAUAUUUGCUACUACCACCAAGAUCUGCACUGACAGCCGCUCCACCCAGGCUCACGCCCAAGGUUUUGAAGAGAUCGUCGCUCCAUCCGACUCAUCGGGGCCUAGCACUUGCCUGACAGCCGGGUGUAGGUCGCGUGAUUAAGAGCCAUCCAUUUUCGGGGCUAGUUGAUUUGGCAAGUAAGUUGAUACAUAGUCCUUAGCGGAUUUCGACUUCCAUGACCACUGUCCUGCUGUCUUAAUCGACCAACACCCUUUUGUGGGAUCUAGGUUAGUGCGCAUUUUAUCACUGUAACCCUGCUUCCGAUUCAUCCCACAUCGCCAGUUCUACUUACAAAAUAUUGCCCACUUCGAGCUCUUGAUUCCGUGGCGUAGCUCAAUAAAGCAAUUGCGCCAUCCUACUUAUUUAAAGUUUUAGAAUAGGUCGAGGGCAUUGCACCCCCGAUGCCUCAAAUCAUUAGCUUUACCCGAUAGAACUCGCACGCGAGCUCCAGCUAUCCUGAGGGAAACUGAACCUGCUACUAGACAGUUCGAUUAGUCUUUUGCCCCUAUACCUAAGUUAGACGGACGAUUUUCACAUUAGUAUCGCUACGGGCCUCCACCAGAGUUUCCUAUGGCUUCGCCCCGCUCAGGCAUAGUUCACGAUCUUUCGGGUCACGACAGGUAUGGUAACACUCAAACCCUUCACAGAAGAUCAAGGUCGAUCAGCGGUGCACCCCUCAGGGGGAUCCCACCAAUCAGAUUCCUUAUGCCUUGUGGGUUUACUCACCCAUUGACUCACACACAUGUUAGACUCCUUUGUCCGUGUUUCAAGAUGGGUCGAAUAGGGAGCCCACAGACCAGCGUCCGGAGCAUGCAUAUGACGAAGCAUGAUAGAGGUGCAUGUUGCCUUCCACAAUCAAGGAGAUGACGUUCCACGAGCAUAUCAAAAGCCCGGGCUUUGGCCGCCCCUAAUCAACGUUGAUUCACUCCCCGAGUUGAUCGGCACACCGGCAUAACAUCGUUCCACAUCCGACCGAGGCACAUCACUGGCCCCAAUCCACUUCCCUCCCAACAAUUUCAAUCACUCUUUGAGUCUCUUUUCAAAGUCCUUUUCAUCUUUCCCUCGCGGUACUUGUUCGCUAUCGGUCUCUCGCCCGUAUUUAGCCUGGGACGGAAUUAACCACCCAAUUUGGGCUGCAUUCUCAAACAACCCGACUCAUAGACAACGCCUCGUAGUGCGACAGGGUCCUAGCACAAUAGGGCUCUCACCCUCUUUAGUGUCCCCUUCCAGGGGACUUGGGCCCGGUCCGCUGCUGAGGAUGUUUCUCCAGACUAUAAUUCGGACGAUGGAGCCGCCCGAUUCUAAGGUUGUGCUAUUCCCUAUUCGCUCGCCGUUACUAGGGAAUCCUUAUAAGUUUCUUUUCCUCCGCUAGUUGAUAUGCUUAAAUUCAUCGAGUAGUCCCGCCUGACCCAGGGUCAAGGUUGGAGUGCCUAAGUGCUAUAAGGGUCGGGGAGCCCAAACAUGCGACGGGUUGGAGCAGCGACAUUACGAGAGUUGAGUUUCAACCACCACUUAUCGUGACGUCCAUCGCCGUGGACUCGCAUUUAAGCCAACCGCAUGCUCGAGGUGCACAGGAGGCCGACCCACGACACUACCACGACCAUGAGAAUGGGAGCAAUGUAUGGGGGCGAUGUGAUGCAUGAUGCCCAGGCAGACGUGCCCUUGACCUAAUGGCUUCGGGCGCAACUUGUGUUCAAAGAUUCGAUGGUUCAUGGGAUUCUACAAAUCACACCAAGUAUCGUAUUUCGCUAUAUUUUUCAUCGAUGCAAGAGCCGAGAUAUCUGUUGUCGAGAGUCGUUUGUGUUUCAAAAUAAGCACAAGUCCCCCCGCACGCGCCACGAAUGGUGUGCGAGAGGCAUGCUUUCAAUUUAGUAUUCCCUGGCGCUUUUCGCGCCGAGGUUUGUUAAUUACCCAACACGCACGCGAGCGUGCAUGCUGGGGAUAGGAGAGAGCUGCACGGACGAAGAUCGAAGCACCCCGGCCAUACCGCUCCCCAGUGUUUAAACAAGUUUGUGGGUCGUUCUGCGGUAGGUUUCGACAAUGAUCCUUCCACAGGUUCACCUACGGAAACCUUGUUACAACUUCUCCUUCCUCUAAAUGAUAAGGUUCAAUGGACUUCUCAUGACGUCGCGGGAAGCGAACCGCCCACGUUGUUGUGAUCUGAACAUUUCACUGGAUCAUUUAAUCGGUAGGAGCGACGGGUGAUGUGUACAAAGGGUAGGGACGUAGUCAACGCGAGCUGAUGACUCACACAUACUAGGAAUUCCUCGUUGAAGACCAACAAUUACAAUGAUCUAUCCCCAUCACGAUGAAAUUUCAAAGAUUAGUCGGGCCUGUCAGCCAAGGCUAUAAACUCGUUGAAUACAUCAGUGUAGCGCGCGUGCGGCCAAGAACAUCUAAGGGAAUCACAGACCUAUUAUUGCCUCAAACUUCCGCGACCUAAAUGACUGUAGUCCCUCUAAGAAGCUGGUUACGAAGGGAUACCUCCGCAUAGCUAGUUAGCAGGCUGAGGUCUCAUUCGUUAACAAAAUUAACCAGAGAAAUCGUUUUACUAACUAAGAACAGCCAAUGCACCACCAACCAUAGAAUCAAGAAAGAGCUCUCAGUCUAUCAAUCCUUACUAUGUCUGGACCUGGUAUGUUUCCCCGUGUUGAGUCAAAUUAAGCCGCAGGCUCCACUUUUGGUGUUGCCUUUUGGUCAAUUCCUUUAAGUUUCAGUCUUGCGACCAUACUUCCCCCAGAGCCCAAAAACUUUGAUUUUUGAUAAGGUGCCGGCGGAGACCUUAAAGUAACAUCCGCCGAUCCCUGGUCGGCAUCGUUUAUGGUUGAGACUAGGAUGGUAUCUGAUCGUCCUCGAGCCCCCAACUUUCUUUCGUGAUUAAGGAAAACAUCCCUGGAAAAUGCUUUCGCAGUUGUUCAUCUUUCAUAAAUCCAAGAAUUUCACCUCUGACUAAUAAAUACGAAUGCCCCCGAUUGUCCCUAUUAAUUAUUACUCUGAUCCCGAAGGCCAAUGUAAUAUGAUCGAAAUCCUAUAAUGUUAUCCCAUAAUAAUGUAUACAGAGCGUAGGCUUGCUUUGAGCACUCUAAUUUCUUCAAAGUAACAGCACCGGAGGCAUGACACAGCUAAUUAAGGACAGGAGUGCAUCGCCCGCCGAAGGGAUGAGACAACCGGUGCACACCUAAGGCGGACCAGCCGGCCCAUCCCAAAAUCCAACUACGAGUUUUUUAACUGCAACAACUUAAAUAUACGCUAUUGGAGCUGGAAUUAGCGCGGCUGUUUGCACCAGACUUGCCCUCCAAUAGAUCCUCGUUAAGGGAUUUAGAUUGUACUCAUUCAUAUUACUAGACCCAUAGAGCCCGGUAUUGUUAUUUAUUGUCACUACCUCCCCAUGCCAGUAUUGGGUAAUUUGCGUGCCUGCUGCCUUCCUUGGAUGUGGUAGCCAUUUCUCAGGCUCCCUCUCCGGAAUCGAACACUAAUUCUCCGUCACCC
rnacentral:lncRNA from 1 species